rnacentral:lncRNA from 1 species
GAGAGUUAAGUUUUAUUUGGGACAAAAUGAAGACUUAAGCCUGGAAGGCAGCACCGCAAGAAACCACUUCUAGGAGGGGAGGGUGUUAGCUAAGAUAUACAGGAGUUUUGUAACAGAGGGCAGGUAGUCAGAACAAAAGAGUACUGUUAGUCAAAGAAAACUAGAUAUCUCAAGUUCAAAAAUGUAGUGCUUUUCUGUGUAUGGGAGUAUUGCAAGGGGCUGGGCUCACUGAAAUCCUUCCUUUGAGAAGCAUCUCAGCUCUCUGGAGCAAGUACCGUGUGCUUUUCACAUCCUGAGGGCUCACCAUCACGAAUGACUGCAGUCCGAUGGCUGCGAGAUGGCAGGUAUUCUUUGUUCCUUCCUGAGUUCCCUCAGGGCUCACCAGCUCAGAGGUGGCUGCAAUUGCUGAAGACUGUGACAUCUUUAUUUACUGCUAUAGGAGGCAAUAUUGUAUUUCUCACCAGCAAUUUGUGUUGUCAGGAGUUUUUGUUUUAGCAACUCUUAUCAGUGUGCAGUGAUUUAAUUGUUUCUCAAAUUAACAGAAUUUUAAAUGUAUAUUAUAUAAUGAGUGUAAUUAAAACAAAAUACCAGUGCAUAAAAGGAAGAUAUGUAAAAAUAUGCAAGCAAUUGAAGAAGCUAUAAAAAGAACACCAAAAUUAACUUUUUUUAAUUUAGAAAGCAGAGACAAAAUGAGAAUAGUUUGCAACAGCCCCAGAUUCCUCCCUGAAGGGAACAGCAAGCAGGGUAGUGUAAGGGGAAAUCAUAUACAAAUUUAAACAACAGCUUUACACUGGGAACUAUGUCGGGUCACUUAUGAUGAAUUAUGAUAAUGUGAGAAAAAAGAAUCUAUGCAUGUAUGUGUAACUGGGUCACCAUGCCGUACAGUAGAAAAUUGACAGAACACUGUAAACAAGCUAUAAUGGAAAAAAAAUUAAAAUGACUAUAUAUAUAAAAAAAUAAUAAAAUAACAGCUUUAAUUCUCCCUGUUGAAAACAAGGGAAGAGACUUAGCCUCCCCUUCCUUUUCUUAGAGCAUUUUCUUUAGGAAAGUUGCAAAUUUUUUUUCUCUCUCUCUUUAAAAUGAAUGUAAAUCUUUUUAAACUUUAAAUGGACCCCUUGAAUACUGUAAACCAGCUAUAAUGGAAAAAAAGUAAAAAUCAUUAAAAUAAAUAAAUAAGUAAAUAAAUGGACCUCCUGACAGAUUUACGACCCAGGAAUGUCUUUCUUAAGGACCUGGGAGCCAUCCCAUUGAAAUGUAAUCAUCAAGGAAGAUGGUGCCCUAACACCCCCUUUUUGUGGGAAGGUAGAAGCCUUCAGCAGAUUCCUUGGGCUCCUCACUCCAAACUGCAAAAUACCUUCAGCCACAAAGAUAUGAGAAUUUUGUUUUUCCUUUGGAUGAAGCAAAUUAGCAAACACAGAUGGCCACUCUAAUUAUCAGGUGAAUCUAGGAUAAAUUAUGCGUGGCAAAUGGUGCUUUCAGCUCCUCUAACUUCAGGGCUAGUUACUAUUUAUCUUGAGAACAUGUAUAUAGUGGGUUAUAUCUGCUUGGCUGCAUAAAUACCUAAGAUUCCUGUCUUUGCAGUCUCUUAGCAGAUUGCCACAUGCUUCACAUUUUGUUUUAAUGCUUACUCAGUGACAAAUUGUUUUCUUUCUCUUCUACCUUUGUGGAAAGUCUUCUGGGAUGAGAGGAGGUUUUGUUUUUAAUUAUAUAUCCCCCAACAAAAGCAAAUGCCAUGGACUGUGCACGCAGGUCAGAAAGAAGAAUUUUCCAGAUUCAGAGCAAGAUGAAGAAAAGACAAGUUUAUUGAGGCAAGGAACACUGUUAACACAGUGGGCUGACUUCCUGAUAAUGAAAGAGAGCCAAUCCUGGAGAUAAAGAAUAGUUUAAGAUGAGAGAUGUGGGAGUUUUCAUUGUGCUUAGCAGGUUAUGAAAGCAACUAGUAUCUAUGAGGAUGUGGAUUCAAUCCCUGGCCUCACUCAGUGGGUUAAGGAUCUGGCAUUGUCGUGAGCUGUGGUGUAGGUCACAGAUCAACACUGGAUCCUUAACCCACUGUUUUUUAUUACAGGGGGUCUCAGCCAAAAACUGAAAAGGGUAGAGGGAAAAUUCUUUUUCAACCCCAUAGAAUAAUCACAGAUGAGUUGUGUGACCCAGACACAAAGCAAGUUCUGAGGCCAGGGACCAAACCCAGGCCACAACAGUGACAAUGAUAGAUCCUUAAGUGCUAGGUCACCAGGGAGCGCCUAUGAUCAUUUUUAACGACUGCAUAAUGUUCCAUUAUAUUCUUUAGUCUAUUGCAACCAUGUUUGACCAUCCAUUAAGUUGCUUUUGGUUUUCUGCUAUUGCAAACAAUGUUGAGACAAACCUCUCUGUAUAUUUGUUUAAUUAUUUCCAUCAGACAAAAGUCCAAAGAACGGGGUUUCUGAGUCAAAUGGCAGACAUUUAAGACUUCUGAUGCCAAACUAUUCUCCAAAAGCAAAAUUCCCAACAACAGUUCAACAACAUUAAAGAACACUAGCUUCCCCACACCCUCACCAACACUGGCUGGAAGGUAUAGUUUCAAAGAUGAGUGCUGCGUACUGGUGCUCUUUGCCUCUUUCUCCACUGACAGCCUGGAAUACAGGUGCUUGAUAAAUCAAUCCAGGCUACAGUCUAGUAGACGCUCUGAUCCAAUAUGACUGUUCUGGGUAUCAAAGAACUCUCCUUCUGGUUCACUGCCCUGGAUGCUGGCAUCGUGUAGACCCUAUAAAGGCAGUAGCUCCAAGCACAUUACACAGAAGGCCCUCACUCUAUCAGACCACAGGCCAUCUGCUCCCAGGCCAUCCGUUCAGCCAGGAAGCUCCUGCUCCUGGUCUGUAUAGCCCUCGGAUUCCUGGUGACCCCAGGUAAACUGGAUGAGGGAGAAGACAGAUGGGACUGGGGGCCAGGAACACUAAAUCUUUGCUUGGCUGACAGACAAGCCAGGUUGAAAGCAGGCAGGGCUCAUCUCAAUGGGUUCCAACCUAAAGUUGGAAUCUCCCAACAUCCACCACUGGCCUCAAUACCCCAUACCCAGCCACCACCUUCUACCACCCUGUACAAAAACACAGUUCCUGGAGUUCCUGUUGUUGCUGUUGUAGCUCAGCAGGUUAAGAACCCGACUAGUAUCCCUGAGAUGUGGGUUCGAACCCUGGCCUCGCUCAGCGGGUUAAGGAUCUGUCACUGCUGUGAGCUGCAGCAUAGGUCACAGAUGGGGCUCAGAUUUGGCAUUGCUGUGGCUGUGGCAGAGGAUGGCAGCUGCAGCUCCAAUUCAACCCCUAGCCCGGGAACUUCCGCAUGAUGUGGGUACACCCUAAAAAGACCAAAAAAAAAAAAAAAAAAAAAAAAAAAAAA